rnacentral:rRNA from 1 species
AGAAUCAACGCUGGCGGCGUGCCUAACACAUGCAAGUCGCACGAGAAAGCGGACUUCGGUCUGUGAGUAAAGUGGCGCACGGGUGAGUAACACGUGAAUAAUCUACCUUCGAGUGGGGAAUAACUGAGAGAAAUCUUAGCUAAUACCGCAUAACACUUACGAGUCAAAGCAGCAAUGCGCUUGAAGAGGAGUUCGCGGCAGAUUAGUUAGUUGGCGGGGUAAUGGCCCACCAAGGCGAUGAUCUGUAUCCGGCCUGAGAGGGCGCACGGACACACUGGAACUGAAACACGGUCCAGACUCCUACGGGAGGCAGCAGUGGGGAAUUUUGCGCAAUGGGGAAACCCUGACGCAGCAACGCCGCGUGGAGGAUGAAAUCCCUUGGGAUGUAAACUCCUUUCGAUCGGGAAGAUAAUGACGGUACCGAGAGAAGAGCCCGGCUAACUUCGCGCCAGCAGCCGCGGUAA